rnacentral:rRNA from 1 species
AUUGAACGCUGGCGGCAGGCCUAACACAUGCAAGUCGAGCGGUAGCACAGAGAGCUUGCUCUCGGGUGACGAGCGGCGGACGGGUGAGUAAUGUCUGGGAAACUGCCUGAUGGAGGGGGAUAACUACUGGAAACGGUAGCUAAUACCGCAUAACGUCGCAAGACCAAAGUGGGGGACCUUCGGGCCUCAUGCCAUCAGAUGUGCCCAGAUGGGAUUAGCUAGUAGGUGGGGUAACGGCUCACCUAGGCGACGAUCCCUAGCUGGUCUGAGAGGAUGACCAGCCACACUGGAACUGAGACACGGUCCAGACUCCUACGGGAGGCAGCAGUGGGGAAUAUUGCACAAUGGGCGCAAGCCUGAUGCAGCCAUGCCGCGUGUGUGAAGAAGGCCUUCGGGUUGUAAAGCACUUUCAGCGGGGAGGAAGGCGGUGAGGUUAAUAACCUCAUCGAUUGACGUUACCCGCAGAAGAAGCACCGGCUAACUCCGUGCCAGCAGCCGCGGUAAUACGGAGGGUGCAAGCGUUAAUCGGAAUUACUGGGCGUAAAGCGCACGCAGGCGGUCUGUCAAGUCGGAUGUGAAAUCCCCGGGCUCAACCUGGGAACUGCAUUCGAAACUGGCAGGCUAGAGUCUUGUAGAGGGGGGUAGAAUUCCAGGUGUAGCGGUGAAAUGCGUAGAGAUCUGGAGGAAUACCGGUGGCGAAGGCGGCCCCCUGGACAAAGACUGACGCUCAGGUGCGAAAGCGUGGGGAGCAAACAGGAUUAGAUACCCUGGUAGUCCACGCCGUAAACGAUGUCGAUUUGGAGGUUGUGCCCUUGAGGCGUGGCUUCCGGAGCUAACGCGUUAAAUCGACCGCCUGGGGAGUACGGCCGCAAGGUUAAAACUCAAAUGAAUUGACGGGGGCCCGCACAAGCGGUGGAGCAUGUGGUUUAAUUCGAUGCAACGCGAAGAACCUUACCUGGUCUUGACAUCCACAGAACUUUCCAGAGAUGGAUUGGUGCCUUCGGGAACCGUGAGACAGGUGCUGCAUGGCUGUCGUCAGCUCGUGUUGUGAAAUGUUGGGUUAAGUCCCGCAACGAGCGCAACCCUUAUCCUUUGUUGCCAGCGGUUAGGCCGGGAACUCAAAGGAGACUGCCAGUGAUAAACUGGAGGAAGGUGGGGAUGACGUCAAGUCAUCAUGGCCCUUACGACCAGGGCUACACACGUGCUACAAUGGCAUAUACAAAGAGAAGCGACCUCGCGAGAGCAAGCGGACCUCAUAAAGUAUGUCGUAGUCCGGAUUGGAGUCUGCAACUCGACUCCAUGAAGUCGGAAUCGCUAGUAAUCGUAGAUCAGAAUGCUACGGUGAAUACGUUCCCGGGCCU